CUUCUGAGCUGGGGGUGGGGGAGGAAGCUUGCAUGGCCUGUUUGGACGAAUCUGAUCGACUUUCUCUGCUUCAAUUUCAAACUGCAGUCCAAAAUAACUAGCAAACUCAUCAGCAGCAACAAAAGAAAUAAUGAUUUAGAAAGUCGAAUGGAUCAAUUAAAGGUGAUUAACUCUGUUGGAAGUGCUUAAUCAUCUAAAGUAAACUUGGAAUGGGUUUACGGAGCCAUCUAACAAGAACAACUUCUGCGUGACUAGGGUGCUGUUCUUCCUCGAAGAUGCCUAACGUCUUAAGUGAAAUAUAUGAAUCCAAACAUGUGAAUAAAUAUUGUACUUUUGGAUGAGAUUCAUUGAAUGAAAAACUCUCAAUUGAAGAUCUGCA